rnacentral:rRNA from 1 species
AUUUUAUUUAACGGCCGCGGUAUUUUAACCGUGCGAAGGUAGCGCAAUCACUUGCCCUUUAAAUAAGGACCUGUAUGAAUGGCGUGACGAGGGCUUAACUGUCUCCUUCCCCCAGUCAAUGAAAUUGAUUUUUCCGUGCAGAAGCGGGAAUAAAAAUAUAAGACGAGAAGACCCUGUGGAGCUUUAGACGAACAUAAACUUUGUAAAGCGUACUCACUUGAUGAGAAAAAACAAUAAGAACCUUAAUGUCUAGUCUUCGGUUGGGGCGACCGCGGGGUAACACAAAACCCCCAUGAGGAACAAGAGCACCUGCUCUUUAAACUAAGAGAUACCACUCAAAGUAACAAAACUUUUGACCUAUAAUGAUCCGGCCUUGCCGAUCAACGAAACUAGUUACCCCAGGGAUAACAGCGCUAUCCUUUCCUAGAGUCCCUAUCGACGAAAGGGUUUACGACCUCGAUGUUGGAUCAGGACAUCCUAAUGGUGCAACCGCUAUUAAGGGUUUGUUUGUUCAACAAUUAAAGUCCUACGUGACU